UACGUAGGGUCCGAGCGUUGUCCGGAAUCAUUGGGCGUAAAGAGCGUGUAGGCGGCCAGAUAAGUCCGCUGUGAAAUCUCGAGGCUCAACUUCGAGCUGUCGGUGGAAACUGUCUGGCUAGAGUCCGGAAGAGGAGAAUGGAAUUCCUGGUGUAGCGGUGAAAUGCGCAGAUAUCAGGAAGAACACCCGUGGCGAAGGCGGUUCUCUGGGACGGUACUGACGCUGAGACGCGAAAGCGUGGGGAGCGAACAGG
rnacentral:rRNA from 1 species